AAAUUGAAGAGUUUGAUCAUGGCUCAGAUUGAACGCUGGCGGCAGGCCUAACACAUGCAAGUCGAACGGUAACAGAAAGCAGCUUGCUGCUUUGCUGACGAGUGGCGGACGGGUGAGUAAUGUCUGGGAAACUGCCUGAUGGAGGGGGAUAACUACUGGAAACGGUAGCUAAUACCGCAUAACGUCGCAAGACCAAAGAGGGGGACCUUCGGGCCUCUUGCCAUCGGAUGUGCCCAGAUGGG
rnacentral:rRNA from 1 species